GACGAACCGUGCGAACGUUGUUCGGAAUCACUGGGCUUAAAGGGCGCGUAGGCGGGUGGCCAAGUCGGUGGUGAAAUCCUCCAGCUCAACUGGAGAAUUGCCUUCGAUACUGGUUGUCUUGAGGGGGUAGGGGCAGACGGAACUUCCGGUGGAGCGGUGGAAUGCGUAGAUAUCGGGAGGAACACCAGUGGCGAAGGCGGUUGCCUGGAGCUUUGCUGACGCUGAGGCGCGAAAGCGUGGGAGCGAGUCCGG
rnacentral:rRNA from 1 species